AUGUCUGAUGGAGCUAAAUGACAGCAACAUUCGUCUUAAACCAGGACUGUCAUGUUUUGUUGGCAAACGAUCUUUACUCUAGAGUACUCAUAGGAUAUUUCUUUUAAAAUAAA